UCUCAGGAACUCCCUCUCAACAUCUAUGUGGUCAUCUUUGGCACUGGGAUAUUUAUCUUUGUCUUAAGCUUGAUAUUCUGCUGCUUCUUUAUAAGUAAACUGAGACAUCAGGCUCGGAAUGUGAGAGCCGGAUACAAGAUGUUAACAUGUGCAGUCUGUUUGGAGGACUUCAGGACAAAAGAUGAGCUUGGAGUGUUACCAUGCCAACACUCCUUUCACAAGAGGUGUCUGGUGAAGUGGCUGGAGGUGAGAUGUUCAUGUCCCAUGUGCAACGAAAACCCCAUCAGCACUGCUUUGGGACAAACGCACAGCCCGGG